rnacentral:tRNA from 1 species
GCGAGGGUGGCGGAAUUGGCAGACGCGUAAGAUUCAGGCUCUUAUGGGCGCUAAGCCUGUGUGGGUUCGACUCCCAUCUCUCGCACCA